rnacentral:rRNA from 1 species
UACGUAGGGGGCUAGCGUUGUCCGGAAUCAUUGGGCGUAAAGGGCGCGUAGGUGGCGCUGCAAGUCAACGGUGAAAGCUCGACGCUUAACGUCGAGUCGGCCGUCGAAACUGCAGCGCUCGAGCACUGUAGAGGCUCAUGGAAUUCCGGGUGUAGCGGUGGAAUGCGUAGAGAUCCGGAAGAACACCGAUGGCGAAGGCAGGUCACUGGGCCGCAACUGACGCUGAGGAGCGAAAGUAUGGGGAGCGAACAGG